GAUUUAGAUUAGAUGAAUACAUUCUUCGCAAAGUAAAAUUUCUGCAGAGCCGCACACGCAUCCGAUUUCUAUCAGUAUCCACACGAAGUCUUUGAUUUGAUUAGAAGCCUUGGUCUUCACCAGGAUGCUAAUUUUUUUGCAAAAGAUGCCUCUUUGAUGGCUGAUUGAAGAUCCUCUUCAACUCUCUAAGACUUUCUUAGAGAACAAGGAGAAAAGGAGAAGAAAAACAGGAGGAAG
rnacentral:lncRNA from 1 species